rnacentral:rRNA from 1 species
UACAGAGGGUGCAAACGUUGUUCGGAAUUACUGGGCGUAAAGCGCGUGUAGGCUGCUCGUCAAGUCGGAUGUGAAAGCCCUGGGCUCAACCCAGGAAGUGCACUCGAAACUCCCGAGCUCGAGUCCUGGAGAGGAAGGCGGAAUUCUCGGUGUAGAGGUGAAAUUCGUAGAUAUCGAGAGGAACAUCGGUGGCGAAGGCGGCCUUCUGGACAGUGACUGACGCUGAGACGCGAAAGCGUGGGGAGCAAACAGG